GGCCCCUGCCCUCUAGAAGCUCACAGUCUAGUUGUGUUCAAGUGCAAGUCAUCUACCCCCAGCUAGAUUGUAAGCUCCUUGAGGGCAGUCCCC
rnacentral:pre_miRNA from 1 species